rnacentral:rRNA from 1 species
CCUACGGGAGGCAGCAGUGAGGAAUAUUGGUCAAUGGGCGCGAGCCUGAACCAGCCAAGUAGCGUGAAUGAUGACUGCCCUCCGUGUUGUAAACUUCUUUUAUAAAGGAAUUAAGUGAGGCACGUGUGCCUUUUUCUAUGUACUUUAUGAAUAAGGCUCGGCUAACUCCGUGCCAGCAGCAGCGGUAAUACGGAGGAUCCGAGCGUUAUCCGGAUUUAUUGGGUGUAAAGGGAGAGUAGAUGGGUUGGUAAGUCAGUUGUGAAAGUUUGCGGCUCAACCGUAAAAUUGCAAUUGAUACUGGCAGCCUGGAGUACAGGUGAGGUAGGCGGAAUUCGUGGUGUAGCGGUGAAAUGCGUAGAUAUCACGAAGAACUCCGAUUGCGAAGGCAGCUUACUAAACUGCCACUGACAUUGAUGCUCGAAAGUGUGGGUAUCAAACAGGAUUAGAUACCCUUGUAGUC